rnacentral:rRNA from 1 species
UACAGAGGUCUCAAGCGUUGUUCGGAUUCAUUGGGCGUAAAGGGUGCGUAGGUGGCGGGGUAAGUUGGAUGUGAAAUCCCGGGGCUCAACCCCGGAACUGCAUUCAAUACUGCCUUGCUAGAGUACUGGAGAGGAGAUUGGAAUUUACGGUGUAGCAGUGAAAUGCGUAGAUAUCGUAAGGAAGACCAGUGGCGAAGGCGGAUCUCUGGACAGUUACUGACACUGAGGC